UCCCCUCCGGCGUCGCGUCGAGCAUCUGCGGGGCUGUAGAGCCACCGAUGAACCCGAAAACGCCGUUUCUUGCUUUCGCCUGGGGUUGCGACGCCGGGGCCCGGCACCGCGGCACAACCUGCCCCGCGCGACACCGUCCUCCGGCUGUUCACAGGGGAGGGAAACGCCAGAAAAUAAUUCAUCACACUUUACCCGGGCCUAAUUUAUCAGGGGUUUAAUCUAG